GUUGAAUGUGAAUUUCAAGUCAAUUCUGAAAUUUGUCUUUGUGACAAAUUGUUUAUUCAUGUGGAUAAUUUUCCUUUCCUCUAAACUAAGCUCUCAUGUUUUCCCCAUUUUGAAACUGAAGAUGUUUGCUAUCUUGGUUAAAAGACCUCUCCUUUGCAUAUUAACAGUAUCACAUGAUUACUAUGUUCAGAAAUUUGCAUUUUCCAGGAUGACCGAAUACUUUUGUGUGGCAGAGUUGAAUCUUGUAUGCGUCUGUGACGAUUCGCUCCGUGUGCAGAGGGCCUAACUAUAACAUUUUGCAGAUCUUUUGAUAUUUCCUUCCCG
rnacentral:lncRNA from 1 species